UGGGCAAACAGAAAAAACGUCUCUCAUCUGCCUAGUCGGUUCCAGUUGCUUUAUUUUCCAUCUUGUUCGCCCUCUGCUGGUUUUUCAGAAGAAGAACAUGAAUGUCUGCAGCUGGUGUGUGAAGAAUGGAUUAGAAGAAGUCAAGAAUAUAACAAAGUAAGACCACCCGGGAGAACAGGGUCCAGACUGACUCGCAAGCAAGGCUGGAGAGUGGAACGUGGAGCAGAUGAACCAAUGUGGAGAGCACGCCCUGAGCACCAACCAGAGAGAAAUCACAAGUAGACGGAGAGGCAGGCA